GAUAUGAAUGAGUAGAUAGGACACGCCCCUUUGAGCUGCGUGCUACAGCGAGGCUAAGCUAGUGGGGGCAAAGUUUCAGUGCAUUCCGUUGAUGUAGACGGCGUGAAAACGGAAACAACAAGUAUGCCGUCUCACUGUGCUGCAUACAGUUACACACUGCGUCGUACGAUUGAGACAAGGAAACUUGGAAUGACUUUUCAUAGGUUUCCCAGAGACUAUGGGUUGAGGAGGAAUUGGAAGUUUGUCGGCUUAGACCUGGUGUCAUUCCAUCAGUGUUAAACUUCCCGGCUCAUCUUGGAAGAGUACGUGCCAGAAAGACCACGACCAAGCAGCCUUGAGAUCUUAGACAGCGUCUCCCUGAGACCAAAGAACUACAGACUCUUCACAACCUGCUCAAACUCUUGGUACAGGACCUCACCACACGGGUCAAGAAGGUUUCCGUCUCAUUUCUACUCUGAAGCUCACCUUCUCCUGCUCAAACUGCUGACAAAUGUUUCUGCUGCUCUAAAGUCUGGUCUCCAGAACUUCCUAAAAACUCUCAAAGUCUCUUCUGCUGCAGGUUGCUUUGUAGAACUGUUGCAGAAAACCUCACUAAACCACAUGGAGGGGCCUCAAGAUAGUCAUCCAAAUGAAACCAUACAAAAACCAAACUAGCACAACCCAAAUGCUAAAGUCUCCUGCAGCCUACCAGAGAACCUCUGAGAACAGAGAAUCAGGACAGGAACUCUUACCUUCUGGACAACCAACGUUGGUUCACAAACAUGAAUACAGAAUGUUUCUGACCAAAAACCUCUGAAGACUCACUACAGCCAAGAUAAAGACACAACUCAGCUGCACCAAAUCCACUAAUCACUGCACACAUUAGCACCAUGUGCUAACUGUGGCUAAAGAACCACAUUUACCAAGACAACUAUCCAGUACAAAACCCUAAAACACACCAAGAAACACAUUAAAGUCUAUUUUACUGCUGGAAGCUGCAAGCCAACGCCUAAAGAACAAACUAAAGCAAUGGAGCCAAACCCAGUUCAGUGGUGAAGAGAAGCAGAGGAAAUGUUUGUCUGCAGCUAAAUAAAGCAGGAAGACACUGAGCUGCUCAGGUGUUCCUGAUAACACCAAGCAGCCACCUGGACAACCAAUAGGAACGCAGCUUACUGGAAGUCCAGAGGGCUGGCUUAGUGAAGGAAAUUUAGUUUAAAGUUGAAGCAGAAAGUUAACAAAGAAAGUUGAAAACCACCUUCUGAUAUCUGAAAUCUCUGAGUUUUCACACAAAGAACACCUGAACAUGUCAAACUGGCUUCAUAGUAGAACCAUCAUUGUAAAAACGUCAUAGUAUGGUGUGUUGCUCCAAAAACAUUAGGACCCGGCUGUCAGGGGACAAACAUGUAAGAACCAUGAGAACAGAGAGAACCCAACCAGUAGGUCACAGUUUAUCAUCCCCCAGUCAUCUCCUGAAGUCCAUAUGGUGAGAGACAUCAGUAUCUGGUUGUUCAUUUACCAGAGGAUGCUUAUAAUCAUGCUGAUGUGGUCUGUACUCUACAGUAUUUUAGUGACUCAAUAAAUGCCUAAGUUGUUUUUUUUAAAUGCUUUUUAGUUUUUAAUAAACAUUUAAGAGCCUAUAUGUAAUCAAUAA